rnacentral:rRNA from 1 species
AAGAGUACGUGAAACCGUAUAGAAGUAAACUGAUGGAACCGCGUAGUGGACGAGCGGGAUUCAGCUUUUGCUGCUCGGGAGUGCGGGGUGAGGAGACCUUUACGGGCUCUUCCCUCGUGCUGCUCGGGUGGCAGGAGUGCACUUUCCGCUCGGACAGCGCCACGACCGGUUUCUCGGCCGCCAAGGCUCGGAGGGAAGGUAGCUCGCGUCUCUGACCCGAGUGUUAUAGCCCUUCGAUGAUCCGGCCGGUCGGGGGACCGUGGAAUUCCUUACCCGCCGCUCUGCGAGACUCUGUCCGUUGGCUGCAUUUCGACUGGCGAGGACUGCUCGCAGUGCUCGUCGACUGCUGUGGCUUUUCGGACGGGGCCCCCUCGCGGCAGCUCAGGGUCGGUGGCGAAAGUUGGCUCUCCAUCAGACCCGUCUUGAAACACGGACCAAGGAGUCUAACAUGUGCGCAAGUCAUUGGGCGUUACGAAACCUAAAGGCGAAAUGAAAGUGAAGGCUCUCUCGCGAGGGCUGAGGUGUGAUCCGGCUGUCUUCGGACGCUAAGGUCGGCGCAACACCGGCCCGUCUCGAGGGCUACGUCCCUGAGGCGGCGCAAGAGCGUACACGUUAGGACCCGAAAGAUGGUGACCUAUGCCUGAGUAGGUCGAAGCCAGAGGAAACUCUGGUGGAGGACCGUAGCGAUUCUGACGUGCAAAUCGAUCGUCGAACUUGGGUAUAGGGGCGAAAGACUAAUCGAACCGUCUAGUAGCUGGUUCCCU